rnacentral:rRNA from 1 species
CCUACGGGAGGCAGCAGUGGGGAAUAUUGGACAAUGGGCGAAAGCCUGAUCCAGCAAUGCCGCGUGAGUGAAGAAGGCCUUCGGGUUGUAAAGCUCUUUUACCCGGGAAGAUAAUGACUGUACCGGGAGAAUAAGCCCCGGCUAACUCCGUGCCAGCAGCCGCGGUAAUACGGAGGGGGCUAGCGUUGUUCGGAAUUACUGGGCGUAAAGCGUACGUAGGCGGCUUUGUAAGUCAGAGGUGAAAGCCCACGACUCAAUCGUGGAACUGCCUUUGAGACUGCUUCGCUUGAAGAUGGGAGAGGUUAGUGGAAUUCCGAGUGUAGAGGUGAAAUUCGUAGAUAUUCGGAAGAACACCAGUGGCGAAGGCGGCUAACUGGACCAUUCUUGACGCUGAGGUACGAAAGCGUGGGGAGCAAACAGGAUUAGAUACCCUGGUAGUCCACGCCGUAAACGAUGAUAACUAGCUGUCGGGGCUCUUGGAGCUUCGGUGGCGCAGCUACGACAUUAAGUUAUUCCGUCCGUCGGGUAGGUACGGCCGGCGAACGGUUAAAACGUAACAAAUAGAAUUAGUACGGCGUGAGACGUGCCGAACGGACGACGACGAGGGAGGUAGG